ACCUCUGUAGUGUAAUGGAUCAGCACAACAGACCGAAUAUCAGUAAGCACGGGUUCGAGUCCCGCUUGAGGUU
rnacentral:tRNA from 1 species